rnacentral:rRNA from 1 species
GACGAACGCUGGCGGCGUGCUUAACACAUACAAGUCGAACGAAGAGCGAUGGAAGCUUGCUUCUAUCAAUCUUAGUGGCGAACGGGUGAGUAACGCGUAAUCAACCUGCCCUUCAGAGGGGGACAACAGUUGGAAACGACUGCUAAUACCGCAUACGAUCUAAUCUCGGCAUCGAGGAUAGAUGAAAGGUGGCCUCUACAUGUAAGCUAUCACUGAAGGAGGGGAUUGCGUCUGAUUAGCUAGUUGGAGGGGUAACGGCCCACCAAGGCGAUGAUCAGUAGCCGGUCUGAGAGGAUGAACGGCCACAUUGGGACUGAGACACGGCCCAGACUCCUACGGGAGGCAGCAGUGGGGAAUCUUCCGCAAUGGACGAAAGUCUGACGGAGCAACGCCGCGUGAGUGAUGACGGCCUUCGGGUUGUAAAGCUCUGUUAAUCGGGACGAAAGGCCUUCUUGCGAAUAGGGAGAAGGAUUGACGGUACCGGAAUAGAAAGCCACGGCUAACUACGUG